ACCAGUCUUCGGUCAAGGGUAUAUGAGUAGCUGUGCUUCCCUGCAAGAAUCUCCAAACAAGCUCUCAAGGUCCAUUGUAGGAAUGUAGGGUAGUCAAGC
rnacentral:sRNA from 14 species